AGCGGAGGAAAAGAAACUAACAAGGAUUCCCCUAGUAACUGCGAGUGAAGCGGGAAAAGCUCAAAUUUAAAAUCUGGCGGUCUCUGGCUGUCCGAGUUGUAAACUAGAGAAGUGUUAUCCGUGCUGGACCAUGUAUAAGUCUCCUGGAACGGAGCGUCAUAGAGGGUGAGAAUCCCGUCUUUGACAUGGACUACCAGUGCAUUGUGGUAUGCUCUCAAAGAGUCGAGUUGUUUGGGAAUGCAGCUCAAAAUGGGUGGUAAAUUCCAUCUAAAGCUAAAUAUUGGCGAGAGACCGAUAGCGAACAAGUACCGUGAGGGAAAGAUGAAAAGAACUUUGGAAAGAGAGUUAAACAGUACGUGAAAUUGUUGAAAGGGAAACGCUUGAAGUCAGUCACAUUGGCUGGAGAUCAACCUUGCUUUUGGAAGGUGUACUCUCUGGUUGAUGGGUCAGCAUCAAUUUUGACCAUUGGAAAAAGGUCAGGGGAAUGUGGCAUCCUUGGAUGUGUUAUAGCCCUUGGUUGUAUACAGUGGUUGGGAUUGAGGAACUCAGCACGCCGCAAGGCCGGGUUUUACCACGUUCGUGCUUAGGAUGCUGGCAUAAUGGCUUUAAUCGACCCGUCUUGAAACACGGACCAAGGAGUCUAACAUGCCUGCGAGUGUUUGGGUGGAAAACCCAUGCGCGUAAUGAAAGUGAUAGUUGAGAUCUCUGUCAUGGAGAGCACCGACGCCCGGACCAGACCUUUUGUGACGGAUCCGCGGUAGAGCAUGUAUGUUGGGACCCGAAAGAUGGUGAACUAUGCCUGAAUAGGGUGAAGCCAGAGAAACUCUGGUGGAGGCUCGUAGCGAUUCUGACGUGCAA
rnacentral:rRNA from 1 species